rnacentral:rRNA from 1 species
UACGAAGGGGGCUAGCGUUGCUCGGAAUUACUGGGCGUAAAGCGCACGUAGGCGGUCUUUUAAGUCGGGGGUGAAAUCCUGGAGCUCAACUCCAGAACUGCCUUCGAUGCUGCCAUGACUCGAGUCCGGUAGAGGAGUGUGGAAUUCCCGGUGUAGCGGUGAAAUGCGCAGAUAUCGGGAGGAACACCCGUAGCGAAGGCGGCACUCUGGGCCGGAACUGACGCUGAGGAGCGAAAGCGUGGGGAGCAAACAGG